UACGGAGGGUACAAGCGUUACUCGGAAUCACUGGGCGUAAAGAGCGCGUAGGCGGGGAUGCAAGUUGGGUGUUAAAUCUACCGGCUCAACUGGUAGUCGCACUCAAAACUGCAGCUCUUGAGUGAAGUAGAGGCAGGCGGAAUUCCUAGUGUAGCGGUGAAAUGCGUAGAUAUUAGGAGGAACACCAGUGGCGAAGGCGGCCUGCUGGGCUUUUACUGACGCUGAGGCUCGAAAGUGUGGGGAGCAAACAGG
rnacentral:rRNA from 1 species